UACGGAGGAUGCAAGCGUUAUCCGGAAUGAUUGGGCGUAAAGCGUCCGCAGGUGGCAAUGUAAGUCUGCUGUCAAAGCGUCUGGCUCAACCAGAUAAAGGCAGUGGAAACUACAUAGCUAGAGUAAGGUAGGGGUAGAGGGAAUUCCUGGUGUAGCGGUGAAAUGCGUAGAGAUCAGGAAGAACACCGGUGGCGAAAGCGCUCUGCUGGACUUUAACUGACACUGAGGGACGAAAGCUAGGGGAGCGAAUGGG
rnacentral:rRNA from 1 species